rnacentral:rRNA from 1 species
UACGUAGGGGGCAAGCGUUGUCCGGAUUUAUUGGGCGUAAAGAGCGCGUAGGCGGCGCGGUACGACCGCUGUGAAAGCCCCCAGCUCAACUGGGGAGGUCAGCGGUACGGCCGUGCUAUGAGUGCAGGAGAGGGAAGUGGAACUCCGGGAGUAGCGGUGAAAUGCGUAGAGACCCGGAGGAACACCAGUGGCGAAGGCGGCUUCCUGGUCUGCGACUGACGCUGUGGCGCGAAAAGCUAGGGGGAGCAAACGGG